GGGGAUGUCGGGCUUCGACACUGGUUUUGUCGAUUGCUUCGCAAGUCGGGGAACUCUGUUACCCUGUUACCAAUCGGAGACAAAUAUAACUGCCAAUUUUAGCAGACAACCGGCAAUGGCUUUGGCUGUUGCCUAACUUCGACAUAAAGUCGGGGCGUCCCGCCGGCUGACUCUCAAUAAGUCGGACGGGGCGUAAAAAUAUUGAGAUAGGAAGCGGUUUUGCUUGAUGGCUGUUUUCCGAACUUUAUUCAAGCUCCCGAAAGAAAAAAUUUGCUGAUUCAUGCUUUCGGCAGAAAUAAAUCAGACUAAACUUGUAGAAGAGCGUUGAUACUAAACCAGUGGACGUGGGUUCAACUCCCACCAUCUCCACUC
rnacentral:tmRNA from 1 species